UACGGAGGAUGCAAGCGUUAUCCGGAAUCAAUUGCGGUUUAAAGGGUGCGUAGCUUGAUUACUAAGUCAAGUGGUGAAAAUUCCGGGCUCAACCCGGGACUUGCCGUUGAAACUGAUAAUCUUGAGUGUAACUGAUGUGGACGGAAUGUGUCAAGUAGCGGUGAAAUGCAUAGAUAUGACACAGAACACCGAUAGCGAAGGCAGCUCACAAAAUUACAACUGACACUGAGGCACGAAAGCGUGGGUAUCAAACAGGAUUAGAUACCCUGGUAGUCCACGCUGUAAACGAUGAUCACUAGCUGUUUGCGAUACAUUGUAAGUGGUUAAGCGAAAGCGAUAAGUGAUCCACCUGGGGAGUACGUCGGCAACGAUGAAACUCAAAGGAAUUGACGGGGGCCCGCACAAGCGGAGGAGCAUGUGGUUUAAUUCGAUGAUACGCGAGGAACCUUACCUGGGCUUGAACGUAUGGUGCAUGAGUGUGAAAGCACUCUUUCCUUCACAGGACUUCAUACGAGGUGCUGCAUGGUUGUCGUCAGCUCGUGCCGUGAGGUGUUAGGUUAAGUCCUGCAACGAGCGCAACCCCUGUUUUUAGUUGCCAUCAGGUUAUGCUGGGCACUCUAGAAAGACUGCCUGCGCAAGCAGUGAGGAAGGUGGGGAUGACGUCAAAUCAGCACGGCCCUUACGUCCAGGGCUACACACGUGCUACAAUGGUCGGCACAGAGGGUUGCUACCCGGCAACGGGAUGCUAAUCUCCAAAGUCGAUCUUAGUUCGGAUCGAAGUCUGCAACUCGACUUCGUGAAGUUGGAUUCGCUAGUAAUCGUAUAUCAGCCAUGAUACGGUGAAUACGUUCCCGGGCCUUGUACACACCGCCCGUCAAGCCAUGGAAGUUGGGGGUACCUGAAGUCGAUUACCGAAAGGGAUUGCCUAGGGUAAACCGAUAACUGGGGCUAAGUCGUA
rnacentral:rRNA from 1 species